GACGAACGCUGGCGGCGUGCUUAACACAUGCAAGUCGAACGAAGUGGCGAACGGGUGAGUAACGCGUAAUCAACCUGCCCUUCAGAGGGGGACACUAGUUGGAAACGACUGCUAAUACCGCAUACUGAUGGAGGGGAUUGCGUCUGAUUAGGUAGGUGGAGGGGAAACGGCCCACCAAGGCGAUGAUCAGUAGCCUGUCUAGGAGUAUGAACGGCCACAUGGGGACUGAGACACGGCCCAGACGCCUACGGGAGGGAGCAGUGGGGAAUCUUCCGUAAUGGACGAAAGUCUGGCGGAGCAACGCGGCGGGAGAGAUGACGGCCUUCGGGUUGUAAAGCUAUGUUCAUCGGGACGCGGUACCGGAAUAGAAAGCCACGGCUAACUACGUGCCAGCAGCCGCGGUAAUAC
rnacentral:rRNA from 1 species